AGAAAAGUAACCGCCGCCCCGCGCAGGGGCGACGCUAAUAGACCGACACGAUCACGGGUAUUUCACGCCAACGCCAACGCCACCCACAA
rnacentral:sRNA from 1 species